rnacentral:tRNA from 1 species
GCCGAGGUAGCUCAGGUAGUAGAGCACAGCUCUGAAAAAGCUGGUGUCGGGAGUGCAAGUCUCCCCCUCGGCACCA